rnacentral:rRNA from 1 species
CCUACGGGCGGCAGCAGUGGGGAAUAUUGGGCAAUGGGCGCAAGCCUGACCCAGCAACGCCGCGUGAAGGAAGAAGGCUUUCGGGUUGUAAACUUCUUUUGUCAGGGAAGAGUAGAAGACGGUACCUGACGAAUAAGCCACGGCUAACUACGUGCCAGCAGCCGCGGUAACACGUAGGUGGCAAGCGUUGCCCGGAUUUACUGGGUGUAAAGGGCGUGUAGGCGGGACUGCAAGUCAGAUGUGAAAACCACGGGCUCAACCUGUGGACUGCAUUUGAAACUGUAGGUCUUGAGUACAGGAGAGGCAGGCGGAAUUCCUAGUGUAGCGGUGAAAUGCGUAGAUAUUAGGAGGAACACCAGUGGCGAAGGCGGUCUACUGGACAGCAACUGACGCUGAGGCGCGAAAGCGUGGGGAGCAAACAGGAUUAGAUACCCGAGUAGUC